rnacentral:rRNA from 1 species
CACGUAGGCGGACUGGAAAGUUGGGGGUGAAAUCCCGGGGCUCAACCCCGGAACUGCCUUCAAAACUGUCAGUCUGGAGUUCGAGAGAGGUGAGUGGAAUUCCGAGUGUAGAGGUGAAAUUCGUAGAUAUUCGGAGGAACACCAGUGGCGAAGGCGGCUCACUGGCUCGAUACUGACGCUGAGGUGCGAAAGCGUGGGGAGGCAAAACA